GAUGAAACAUUUAUGAAUUUGCCUUUCAUGACACAUGCAAAUGAAAACUGAUAAAGGUGGAUUUGACAGACAUGUAGAUUCCUUCUGUGGGUAAAAAGAUGACAAAUAA